rnacentral:rRNA from 1 species
UGAGUACAAGAUGCUACGGCAUUGAAGCAGUCUAUGUCAUACUUCCAAGAAAAGCUUGCAAUGUCAUAAACAAAUAAUGCCUGUACCAUAACCGACACAGGUGGGUAGGUAGAGUAUACUAAGGGGCGCGAGAUAACUCUCUCUAAGGAACUCGGCAAAAUGACUCCGUAACUUCGGGAGAAGGAGUACCUUAUUUUAUAAGGUUGCAAUAACAAGGUCCAAGCAACUGUUUACCAAAAACACAGGUCUCCGCUAAGUCGUAAGACGAUGUAUGGGGGCUGACGCCUGCCCAGUGCCAGAAGGUUAAAGAAGUUGGUUAGCAUUAGCGAAGCUGAUAACUGAAGCCCUGGUGAACGGCGGCCGUAACAAUAACGGUCCUAAGGUAGCGAAAUUCCUUGUCGGGUAAGUUCCGACCCGCACGAAAGGCGUAAUGAUUUGGAUACUGUCUCGGAGAGGGGCUCGGUGAAAUAGACUUGUCUGUGAAGAUGCGGACUACCUGCACCUGGACAGAAAGACCCUAUGAAGCUUUACUGUAACUUGAGAUUGAAAUUGGACUUUAUUUGCGCAGUAUAGGUGGGAGACCUCGAAAGUAUUCUUGCGGGAAUAUUGGAGUCAUCAGUGAGAUACCACUCUUAUAAUGUUAGAUUUCUAACUUUGUAUCAUUAUCUGGUCAAAGAACAGUUUCAGGCGGGCAGUUUGACUGGGGCGGUCGCCUCCCAAAUGGUAACGGAGGCGCACAAAGGUUUCCUCUGAACGUGUAGAAAUCGUAUCUAGAGUGUAAAGGCAUAAGGAAGCUUGACUGUGAGACCUACAAGUCGAGCAGGGACGAAAGUCGGUCUUAGUGAUCUGACGGUGCUGAGUGGAAAGGCCGUCACUCAACGGAUAAAAGUUACUCUAGGAUAACAGGCUGAUCUCCCCCAAGAGUUCACAUCGACGGGGAGGUUUGGCACCUCGAUGUCGGCUCAUCGCAUCCUGGGGCGGUAGUACGUCCCAAGGGUUGGGCUGUUCGCCCAUGAAAGCGGUACGCGAGCUGGGUUCAGAACGUCGUGAGACAGUUCGGUCCAUAUCCGGUGUAGGCGUUAGAAUAUUGAGAGGGGCCUUCUUUAGUACGAGAGGACCGAGAAGGACAUACCUCUGGUGUACCAGUUAUCGUGCCAACGGUAAACGCUGGGUAGCUAUGUAUGGAGAGGAUAACCGCUGAAAGCAUCUAAGUGGGAAGCCCACCUCAAGAUAAGUAUUCUC